rnacentral:tRNA from 2 species
UCGUUAGCUCAGUCGGUAGAGCAGUUGACUUUUAAUCAAUUGGUCGCAGGUUCGAAUCCUGCACGACCCACCA